rnacentral:rRNA from 1 species
GACGUAGGGCGCGAGCGUUGUCCGGAUUUAUUGGGCGUAAAGAGCUCGUAGGCGGCUCGUUGCGUCGGCUGUGAAAACCCGCAGCUCAACUGUGGGCUUGCAGCUGAUACGGGCGGGCUGGGAUUCGGUAGGGGAGACUGGAAUUCCUGGUGUAGCGGUGAAAUGCGCAGAUAUCAGGAGGAACACCGGUGGCGAAGGCGGGUCUCUGGGCCAUAACUGACGCUGAGGAGCGAAAGCGUGGGGAGCGAACAGG